GGAGUCAUCUGUAUUAAGCUUCAACCACUCUGAACUAGGAGGCUUCCAACUGAUCAGUCUUUCCACUCUAGGCUUUUUCUCUCCCAAGACAUUUAGUUGCUCAUUUAGAGAAUCUGAAAAGAUCUCAACCUGCCGAAAAAUAAAAUUCAUAGGAUCAUGAAGUAGGUUCCAGCCUUCUUCAAAGAAAGACUUCUUCCUCCACACAAGUACCACACUGUUACUGCAAAUAAUCUUUAAGGUUAUAAGCCAAAUCCCUACUAAGC
rnacentral:misc_RNA from 1 species